UCACUUACCUGGCAGAAGAGAUACCACAAUCCUGAAGGUAGUUUUCCCAGGGUAAGGCUCAUCCAUUGCAUUCUGGGUGCGCUGACCCUUGCAAGUUCCCCAAAUGUGGAAACUCAGCUGUGUGAUUUAUAGUAGUUGGGGAGUGCAUUUUAAAAAAUUAUUGUCAUUUAGUGUUUCCAU
rnacentral:snRNA from 1 species